AUUGAACGCUGGCGGCAGGCCUAACACAUGCAAGUCGAGCGGAUGAAGGGAGCUUGCUCCUGGAUUCAGCGGCGGACGGGUGAGUAAUGCCUAGGAAUCUGCCUGGUAGUGGGGGAUAACGUCCGGAAACGGGCGCUAAUACCGCAUACGUCCUGAGGGAGAAAGUGGGGGAUCUUCGGACCUCACGCUAUCAGAUGAGCCUAGGUCGGAUUAGCUAGUUGGUGGGGUAAAGGCCUACCAAGGCGACGAUCCGUAACUGGUCUGAGAGGAUGAUCAGUCACACUGGAACUGAGACACAGUCCAGACUCCUACGGGAGGCAGCAGUGGGGAAUAUUGGACAAUGGGCGAAGGCCUGAUCCAGCCAUGCCGCGUGUGUGAAGAAGGUCUUCGGAUUGUAAAGCACUUUAAGUUGGGAGGAAGGGCAGUAAGUUAAUACCUUGCUGUUUUGACGUUACCAACAGAAUAAGCACCGGCUAACUUCGUG
rnacentral:rRNA from 1 species